CUUGGGCUUUCUUCGCCAGACGCAUACCUCAUAGAGCUGAGUUGUUUUUUUGUUUCCAUUUCCGCCUCCCUCUCUUUUCCCUUUUGAGUUUCUCACUAUUAGGCUUCUCAAUUCCUCUGCCGUGUCUGUCUUCACUUAUUUCAAGUCCUAUACCUUUUUCUUCUUCUUCUUUUUCUUCUUCCUGGCGAAGGCGUUUCCUACCUCUGGAUGAGUCCGGAAUCUGAGGCAUGUUUCUGUUAGAUUUUCCGAGCAAACGGGAUUCCAUAAUUUAAAUUUAGCGCCGUAUUUGAACAGAAUCUCUUCGUUCGCGCUCCUGGUUUUCCAGGCUCCCUAUUUUUUUCACUCGGCUGAUUGCGAGCCCUUAAAAGAGGCUCUCAUUUGUACUCCUGUGGAACUUUGGUCAGC
rnacentral:misc_RNA from 1 species